GUUAAGCGACUAAGCGUACACGGUGGAUGCCCUGGCAGUCAGAGGCGAUGAAGGACGUGCUAAUCUGCGAUAAGCGUCGGUGAGGUGAUAUGAACCGUUAUAACCGGCGAUUUCCGAAUGGGGAAACCCAGUGUGUUUCGACACACUAUCAUUAACUGAAUCCAUAGGUUAAUGAGGCGAACCGGGGGAACUGAAACAUCUAAGUACCCCGAGGAAAAGAAAUCAACCGAGAUUCCCCCAGUAGCGGCGAGCGAACGGGGAGGAGCCCAGAGCCUGAAUCAGUGUGUGUGUUAGUGGAAGCGUCUGGAAAGGCGUGCGAUACAGGGUGACAGCCCCGUACACAAAAAUGCACAUAUUGUGAGCUCGAUGAGUAGGGCGGGACACGUGGUAUCCUGUCUGAAUAUGGGGGGACCAUCCUCCAAGGCUAAAUACUCCUGACUGACCGAUAGUGAACCAGUACCGUGAGGGAAAGGCGAAAAGAACCCCGGCGAGGGGAGUGAAAAAGAACCUGAAACCGUGUACGUACAAGCAGUGGGAGCCUCUUAAUGGGGUGACUGCGUACCUUUUGUAUAAUGGGUCAGCGACUUAUAUUCUGUAGCAAGGUUAACCGAAUAGGGGAGCCGAAGGGAAACCGAGUCUUAACUGGGCGUUAAGUUGCAGGGUAUAGACCCGAAACCCGGUGAUCUAGCCAUGGGCAGGUUGAAGGUUGGGUAACACUAACUGGAGGACCGAACCGACUAAUGUUGAAAAAUUAGCGGAUGACUUGUGGCUGGGGGUGAAAGGCCAAUCAAACCGGGAGAUAGCUGGUUCUCCCCGAAAGCUAUUUAGGUAGCGCCUCGUGAAUUCAUCUCCGGGGGUAGAGCACUGUUUCGGCAAGGGGGUCAUCCCGACUUACCAACCCGAUGCAAACUGCGAAUACCGGAGAAUGUUAUCACGGGAGACACACGGCGGGUGCUAACGUCCGUCGUGAAGAGGGAAACAACCCAGACCGCCAGCUAAGGUCCCAAAGUCAUGGUUAAGUGGGAAACGAUGUGGGAAGGCCCAGACAGCCAGGAUGUUGGCUUAGAAGCAGCCAUCAUUUAAAGAAAGCGUAAUAGCUCACUGGUCGAGUCGGCCUGCGCGGAAGAUGUAACGGGGCUAAACCAUGCACCGAAGCUGCGGCAGCGACACUAUGUGUUGUUGGGUAGGGGAGCGUUCUGUAAGCCUGUGAAGGUGGCCUGUGAGGGUUGCUGGAGGUAUCAGAAGUGCGAAUGCUGACAUAAGUAACGAUAAAGCGGGUGAAAAGCCCGCUCGCCGGAAGACCAAGGGUUCCUGUCCAACGUUAAUCGGGGCAGGGUGAGUCGACCCCUAAGGCGAGGCCGAAAGGCGUAGUCGAUGGGAAACAGGUUAAUAUUCCUGUACUUGGUGUUACUGCGAAGGGGGGACGGAGAAGGCUAUGUUGGCCGGGCGACGGUUGUCCCGGUUUAAGCGUGUAGGCUGGUUUUCCAGGCAAAUCCGGAAAACCAAGGCUGAGGCGUGAUGACGAGGCACUACGGUGCUGAAGCGACAAAUGCCCUGCUUCCAGGAAAAGCCUCUAAGCAUCAGGUAACAUCAAAUCGUACCCCAAACCGACACAGGUGGUCAGGUAGAGAAUACCAAGGCGCUUGAGAGAACUCGGGUGAAGGAACUAGGCAAAAUGGUGCCGUAACUUCGGGAGAAGGCACGCUGAUAUGUAGGU
rnacentral:rRNA from 1 species